UUUUUUCUAAAAAUCGAAUCUCUGUUGACAUUAUAUAUGGGAAAAAAAGUUUGGGCCCAUGUCCCCUUGCCCCAUGGUGUAAGCCGGUCCUGAUUACGCUUCGUGGAUUUGGACAGCUUAAUCUAGGCAGGUUGUCUCCUUUCUCUUUUGCAGGUUAUAUCUAUCUUAUUUCCAGAUCUUGUCUUUUCUAAAACCCGCUUUCUAUCACACAGUGAGUUCGUUAGUGUUAGUCUCGGCGACCCUUCCUUACGGUAUGCUUUCACCUUUAUUCAUGUUUGUGAGAAAAAGUGUUAUUAAUUUCCUUUUGAAUCGACUAAUAUGUCACACUCAAGCAGAAACAUUAGCCUAACAUGAUCAAAGAUCAAACUAACCCAUGAACUCCUCGUCACCCCAAGUCCUUAUGUUUUUUGAUCACUCACUAAAACCCUUAUGCUUACACUCAUUCUUUUGAGGUGGUGUUUAACCCAAGGCACGUUUAUCUACUUAUACUAAUAGUUUUUGUGGCUAACUUUAGAUAACUUUCCAAGGAAAAUAUAUUCUUAAUAUCUUCUAUAUGGAAAAUAUAUUCUUAAAUCUUUGAUAAAAAUAGUAUGCCCAUUUUUUAAAAACCUCUCAUUUUUAACCGAUUCAAUUA
rnacentral:lncRNA from 1 species